GAUGAACGCUAGCUACAGGCUUAACACAUGCAAGUCGAGGGGAAACGACAUCGAAAGCUUGCUUUUGAUGGGCGUCGGCCGGCGCACGGGUGAGUAACGCGUAUCCAACCUGCCCACCACUUGGGGAUAACCUUGCGAAAGUAAGACUAAUACCCAAUGAUAUCUCUAGAAGACAUCUGAAAGAGAUUAAAGAUUUAUCGGUGAUGGAUGGGGAUGCGUCUGAUUAGCUUGUUGGCGGGGUAACGGCCCACCAAGGCAACGAUCAGUAGGGGUUCUGAGAGGAAGGUCCCCCACAUUGGAACUGAGACACGGUCCAAACUCCUACGGGAGGAAGCAGUGAGGAAUAUUGGUCAAUGGACGAGAGUCUGAACCAGCCAAGUAGCGUGCAGGAAGACGGCCCUAUGGGUUGUAAACUGCUUUUAUAAGGGAAUAAAGUGAGUCUCGUGAGACUUUUUGCAUGUACCUUAUGAAUAAGGACCGGCUAAUUCCGUG
rnacentral:rRNA from 1 species